GAUGAACGCUAGCGGCAGGCUUAAUACAUGCAAGUCGAGGGACAGCACAGGUAGCAAUACUGGGUGGUAACCGGCAAACGGGUGCGGAACACGUACACAACCUUCCUUUAAGUGGGGGAUAGCCCAGAGAAAUUUGGAUUAAUACCCCGUAAUAUAGUUGAAUGGCAUCAUUUGAUUAUUAUAGCUACGGCGCUUAAUGAUGGGUGUGCGGCUGAUUAGAUAGUUGGCGGGGUAACGGCCCACCAAGUCUACGAUCAGUAGCUGAUGUGAGAGCAUGAUCAGCCACACGGGCACUGAGACACGGGCCCGACUCCUACGGGAGGCAGCAGUAAGGAAUAUUGGUCAAUGGACGCAAGUCUGAACCAGCCAUGCCGCGUGAAGGAUUAAGGUCCUCUGGAUUGUAAACUUCUUUUAUUUGGGACGAAAAAGGGUCUUUCUAGAUCAACUGACGGUACCAGAUGAAUAAGCACCGGCUAACUCCGUGCCAGCCGCCGCCGUAACAC
rnacentral:rRNA from 1 species